GACGAACGCUGGCGGCGUGCUUAACACAUGCAAGUCGAACGGAAAGGCUCCUGCUUGCAGGGGUACUCGAGUGGCGAACGGGUGAGUAACACGUGGGUGAUCUGCCUUGUACUCUGGGAUAAGCUUGGGAAACUGGGUCUAAUACCGGAUAGUAGCCGCCUUUAGUGUGGUGGUUGGAAAGUUUUUUCGGUGCAAGAUGAGCUCGCGGCCUAUCAGCUUGUUGGUGGGGUAAUGGCCUACCAAGGCGUCGACGGGUAGCCGGCCUGAGAGGGUGUACGGCCACAUUGGGACUGAGAUACGGCCCAGACUCCUACGGGAGGCAGCAGUGGGGAAUAUUGCACAAUGGGCGGAAGCCUGAUGCAGCGACGCCGCGUGGGGGAUGACGGCCUUCGGGUUGUAAACUCCUUUCGACAGGGACGAAGCUUUUUGUGACGGUACCUGUAUAAGAAGCACCGGCUAACUACGUGCCAGCAGCCGCGGUAAUACGUAGGGUGCGAGCGUUGUC
rnacentral:rRNA from 1 species